AUUGAACGCUGGCGGCAUGCUUUACACAUGCAAGUCGAAUGGCAGCGCGGGCUUCGGCCUGGCGGCGAGUGGCGAACGGGUGAGUAAUGCAUCGGAACGUGCCCAGUAGUGGGGGAUAGCCCGGCGAAAGCCGGAUUAAUACCGCAUACGACCUGAGGGUGAAAGCGGGGGACCGAAAGGCCUCGCGCUAUUGGAGCGGCCGAUGUCGGAUUAGCUAGUUGGUGGGGUAAAGGCUUACCAAGGCGACGAUCCGUAGCUGGUCUGAGAGGACGACCAGCCACACUGGGACUGAGACACGGCCCAGACUCCUACGGGAGGCAGCAGUGGGGAAUUUUGGACAAUGGGGGCAACCCUGAUCCAGCCAUGCCGCGUGCGGGAAGAAGGCCUUCGGGUUGUAAACCGCUUUUGUUCGGGAAGAAAUCCUCUGGGCUAAUACCCCGGGGGGAUGACGGUACCGGAAGAAUAAGCACCGGCUAACUACGUG
rnacentral:rRNA from 1 species